rnacentral:lncRNA from 1 species
UUGCCUAGUGGCUCUGUACACAGUGUUCCUAAGGUACACAAAGAGAGAGCCCGAAAUCAACAUCCGCGGUUGCCCUGAGAUAGCAUCACCCAUCGUUCCGCCGGUGCGCCCUCCCUGAGAUGGUGGCGUGUGUUGUUUGGGCUGUUUUUCAUAGCCGCCGCAGCUGGGAAUUCAAGAUGCUAUACUUAGGCAGAAGUCCAUGAAGGAAUUAAUUGAUAUGAGCCAGAAGUUGAUUGCCAUUUAAGUACUCAGCCUCCACCAUUGCCAAGUUUCCCUCUUUGCAGAAAGAACUGAGCUUGCCUGCAAACUGGCUCAUUCAGGAUGUGAGCACAAGAUGGAAUUCAACCUUUAAUAUGCUGCAACACCUGCUUGGAAAUAAAGGGGCUCUGUGCUUUUCCCCCCAAGGAGUUGACAGCUGACUUCAUUACAGAGGAAUCUGGCAGAGAUGGUUGAGGCUACUCCGCAGUCUCAGGGGGCACUCACCCAGGAAUGCAGUGCCAACCAGACCUGAGCUUUGGGACUCUGCCAGGAACCCAUGCUGGCCUAUUUUAGCCUAAAUCAUCCCUCUUUCUUGAACUCCAGUUUUCAGUGUCUUUGGUAGGCGCUUCCUCCACACAAGGGAGAUGGUAAGUGUCUCUGGCCUGCUGAAGUUAAAUGGAGAAGCAUUUGCAGGUGCUCUAUAAUGGGAUCUGGAUUUCCAGGCUUCCUUUCUCAAGAGUUCUGCAGUGUUGCACCCCAACAGGCACAAACAGACACAAAGUCAGGCUGCCAUGCUCUAUAGAGCAGAACUUGAGGGUUCACUGGAGUCCUUGUCCAUGUUCUGGAACUGACCCAGAGCUGCUCUGGGAAGCCUAGCCCAGCCUGUGGGGGUCCCUAGAGGGUCUCUGGCGCUGUGACCUUCCAUUGUGGCUGGAACACUGGUUAUGCUUGUCAGUUUUCCAAGUAGAAUGUCAACCUUGUCACCCAUUUACAUGAUUUCUAAAUCGUAUUAAUCUGGCCCCCAUUCACAACACAGAAUUUAGCAUUAUCUGACUUGCAUCAGAGAAUAUUAACUUUCUAUCAUUUAUUAUCCUUUAUCACUCCCCAAAAUCUGUCUGAAAUCUAAAGAUCCAGAAAUAGGGGCAGCCUCAUAUAGAACACAUCCAUUCACUGGAUUACUCAGUUCAGCAUUAAGCAAUGUGAAUAUGAAGGUCACAGAGCAGCUUCAAAACUGCACAUAAUGCUAAUUGAAAACAAAGCAUGAUUUGAACUUUUAUAUACAAAAGUCAUAUCGUGCUUUCAAAACAAACAUUUAAAAUGGGCUGGAAUGAGAAUCAGAAAAACAAAACAAAACAAAACAAAACAGUUGAUGCCAGAGGUCAAAACUGGCAAUCCAAGAUUCAAGCCUGGCCUGAAAGUGUGUCUCAUAUGGC